rnacentral:rRNA from 1 species
AUUGAACGCUGGCGGCAGGCUUAACACAUGCAAGUCGAGCGGGGGAAGUUGCUUCGGUAAUUGACCUAGCGGCGGACGGGUGAGUAAUACUUAGGAAUCUGCCUAUUAAUGGGGGACAACAUCUCGAAAGGGAUGCUAAUACCGCAUACGCCCUACGGGGGAAAGCAGGGGAUCACUUGUGACCUUGCGUUAAUAGAUGAGCCUACGUCGGAUUAGCUAGUUGGGGGGGUAAAGGCCUACCAAGGCGACGAUCUGUAGCGGGUCUGAGAGGAUGAUCCGCCAAACUGGGACUGAGACACGGCCCAGACUCCUACGGGAGGCAGCAGUGGGGAAUAUUGGACAAUGGGGGGAACCCUGAUCCAGCCAUGCCGCGUGUGUGAAGAAGGCCUUAUGGUUGUAAAGCACUUUAAGCGAGGAGGAGGCUCUUUUGGUUAAUACCCAAGAUGAGUGGACGUCACUCGCAGAAUAAGCACCGGCUAACUCUGUGCCAGCCGCCGCCGUAAAAC